rnacentral:lncRNA from 1 species
CCCAUCAUUAAACAUAAACAUAAAAUGUAAACAAAAGCAGAAUGGUGAUGAUAAUCUAGUUUUCCAUAAUCCAAAUCAGUUUAUAAAAUGAUUGUUCAUAAAGACACAAACUUAGGCAUAAACUAGAUCUUACACAAGCACAAAAAUUAUAACAUUAGGCCUUAAACGGAUAUACAUCUCAAACUACAGUUGACAACGACGAUUCAUUCUUCUUGAUGCUUAAGGAGAGCUCCCUACGGUCAGUCAAGAAUCAAGAAUCACAGCACAGGUCAUUGCAUCGACAAACGAGGACUGGGAGUGCAAGAGAAAUAAGAUUUAAGUCCAAACCCUUAAUAUCAUAUCUCUAUCAUCAUUUUUUAGCAAUCACAAUAUACUGCAGGCUUUCUGACCCUUUCUCUUCUUUUUCCUUUGCUUUGGUGGCUGUAUAACUACCUUAAUAGCUGCAUCAAAGACGGCCUUCACAUUCUGCAAUACUUGAAGGAAAUUCAUUCAAUGCUUAUUUGGUAUAGCUUAAAAAAUUGCUAAAAAGCUGAUGUCAAUGUCAACAAUAAAUUUUACCACAUAUAAUAGGAAUCACAACUUUUANN